rnacentral:rRNA from 1 species
GUAAAGUACUUUCAGCAGUGAGGAAGGUGGGUAUGUUAAUAGCAUAUUCAUUUGACGUUAGCUGCAGAAGAAGCACCGGCUAACUCCGUGCCAGCAGCCGCGGUAAUACGGAGGGUGCGAGCGUUAAUCGGAAUUACUGGGCGUAAAGCGCAUGCAGGUGGUUUGUUAAGUCAGAUGUGAAAGCCCGGGGCUCAACCUCGGAAUUGCAUUUGAAACUGGCAAACUAGAGUACUGUAGAGGGGGUAGAAUUUCAGGUGUAGCGGUGAAAUGCGUAGAGAUCUGAAGGAAUACCGGUGGCGAAGGCGGCCCCCCUGGACAGAUACUGACACUCAGAUGAAGAAAGCGUCGGGGAGCAAACAGGAUUAGAUACCCUGGUAG